GACGAACGCUGGCGGCGUGCUUAACACAUGCAAGUCGAACGGAAAGGCCCUGCUUUUGUGGGGUGCUCGAGUGGCGAACGGGUGAGUAACACGUGAGUAACCUGCCCUUGACUUUGGGAUAACUUCAGGAAACUGGAGCUAAUACCGGAUAGGAGCUCCUGCUGCAUGGUGGGGGUUGGAAAGUUUCGGCGGUUGGGGAUGGACUCGCGGCUUAUCAGCUUGUUGGUGGGGUAGUGGCCUACCAAGGCUUUGACGGGUAGCCGGCCUGAGAGGGUGACCGGCCACAUUGGGACUGAGAUACGGCCCAGACUCCUACGGGAGGCAGCAGUGGGGAAUAUUGCACAAUGGGCGGAAGCCUGAUGCAGCAACGCCGCGUGCGGGAUGACGGCCUUCGGGUUGUAAACCGCUUUCGCCUGUGACGAAGCGUGAGUGACGGUAAUGGGUAAAGAAGCACCGGCUAACUACGUG
rnacentral:rRNA from 1 species